UGGGGGAGUGAAAAGAUGGGGAGGGGGAUGACAAACAUCAUUGGGUGCCACCGUGGUUCCGCCAGUAGAACUAACUGUCUCACGGCUCCACCGACGCGAGUUUGAUCCUGAUCUACGCUGCUGUCUAAGUGGAGUUUGUACUCACCAUGUACUCGCUCCCACUCACCUGGUUUCACCUAUCGCCUGCUAGUCUUCUCUCCUCCCCUUCCCACAACUUCUAAUUCUGCUUUCUGCCCCCUUCCUUUCCAGGGUCUUGACUCGAAACGUGAACGGUUCAUUUCCCUCCAUUGAUGCGUCUACAGUAUCAGUGCGUACACAUCCUAGAGAUUAUACCUUGUGUAUAGGAGGUGGUCGCAGUACAGGUGCCCAGAAGCAAUCCACCUUGAUUCCCGGUUGCCUCCCGUACUGUCAUGGUGAGGCCAAACAUAAACUGGAGGAUCAAUACCCGAGAGUCUACGGGCAGCAUAGCGGGCAGAGCAACACUUUGCAGCGGCUACGAUCGGUAUUCAGCUCCCGGCGCUGUCCGUAAGGAGUUGGUAUGUUCUUCCCCCGAGUCAGAUUUCCGGCUUCUGGUGUUCUUUGAAUUUCACUUACUGGAGGAUUAAGAUCUUGAAGGGAGACUGAGGCUGUGUCUUUUGUGAUCGAGAAGGCUGAGGUGAGAUUGGAAUGAGGCACUGCACAUGAUGGGAGGCCAAGAGAAGCAGUAAAGCCAAAGUCAAAUCACAAAAAAGAUGCUGGACAUCCAAGCAACACACAGAAAAUGCCGGAAGAACUCAGUGGACCAGGCAGCUUCUAUGGAAAAAGGUUGUGCAGAGCAGAGCGUGCGGACCGAUCACAUCACCAUUCGGUACGGAGGUACCAAAGCACAGGAUCGGAAAAAAUCUGCAGAGGGUUGUAGACUUAGCCAGCUCCUUCGUGGGAGCUAGCCUCACUGCCUUCAAGAACAUCUUCAAAAAGAAAUACCAAGGAAGGCAGGAUCCAUCAUGAAGGACCCUCACUCAUCCAGAACAUGUCAUCUUUUUAUUACUGACAGCAUCUUCCCCUCUACCAUCAGAUUUCUGAACGGUCUGUGAACACUGCCUCACUAUUUUGCUCUCUUUUUACACAGUAAGUGGAGGCUGGUCCUGAAAUCUCUACCAUAAUAAGUCCAUGUUCUCCCACCCAGUUGAGCUGGCCCUCCAUAGCCACACACUUUCUGGUACUUCCUGGGAGCAUCCUGCCUUUGAUCCAGAGUCCAUAUUGUUUUCUGUAAACUAUCGGGGCUUCUGGGAGACACGCCACUCAUCUCCUCUCCUCUAUUUAAACAGGCACUUCCCUAGCCACCACUUACUGAGGACCCCGAAUGCACAGAGUAACUUCUGAGUUCUUCUGUAAAGAAAGCGUUCGGUUUAAGAAUUUUUGUUUAAUGCUUCACGUAUUUUCCUUAUGCUUUACUUACAGUAAUUAUUCUUAUGUAAAAUAUAAUUCAGUCAAAUCUUAUUCCUAAUGGAUGAAUCUAGCCUAAUAUUGUGAAACAUUUGCAAUGAAAAAUGCAUUGGAAUUGAUUUAUGGAAGUGAAUGGAAGCACAAUGUAAAAUUUUUGCAUGUUUAGUUAAA